rnacentral:lncRNA from 1 species
CUGAGACUACCGCAUUACCACUACCGUCCUUGGGAAAGGUUAUAGCGAAUAGACUAUAUAUUGCUUUAUUAUAUAGCACAAUUAAGCAAUCAAUGCUCAAUGGCUGUUGGAAGAAAUUGUGGGCAAAUGUAGUUAAAGGUAAAGCUUCCAUUUCACCAUUAAAGGAUGAAUAUUCUCAGAUAGUACAAUUGGCGCAUUCAUUGGGUGAAGAAGGUUUUGAUGAUUUUACUGAAGGAAAUAUUGCAGAAGUAGUGGCUGAUAAAGAACUAGGUGAAAAUGAUUUAAUUAAUAUGGUUGAUGAAACUAGUGAUUGUGACAAUGAUCCUGAU